rnacentral:rRNA from 1 species
GAAUUGACGGGGCCCGCACAAGCGGUGGAGCGUGUGGUUUAAUUCGAAGCAACGCGAAGAACCUUACCAGGUCUUGACAUCCCGAUGCUAUUUCUAGAGAUAGAAAGUUACUUCGGUACAUCGGUGACAGGUGGUGCAUGGUUGUCGUCAGCUCGUGUCGUGAGAUGUUGGGUUAAGUCCCGCAACGAGCGCAACCCCUAUUGUUAGUUGCCAUCAUUCAGUUGGGCACUCUAGCGAGACUGCCGGUAAUAAACCGGAGGAAGUGGGGAUGACGUCAAAUCAUCAUGCCCCUUAUGACCUGGGCUACACACGUGCUACAAUGGUUGGUACAACGAGUUGCGAGUCGGUGACGGCGAGCUAAUCUCUUAAAGCCAAUCUCAGUUCGGAUUGUAGGCUGCAACUCGCCUACAUGAAGUCGGAAUCGCUAGUAAUCGCGGAUCAGCACGCCGCGGUGAAUACGUUCCCGGGCCUU